UCUUUCCGUAACCGCUAUUCGGCUUGUCCCGGAAUAACACGAGUUGGUCACGAACGAUCUCGCGUUAUUCCGCACUGGUUACGGAAAGGGGCGAGUGGUGGCGAAUGGAAUGGAGAGACUUGUCGUCUUCCGAUUGGUUAUUUUUCACCUGUCAAUUAUGAGCUGUUACUAAUUAUAGCAUGGGAUUUUCCCAAUGAAUAAAAUCUAUCAUGGUUUCGUUUAUGCCAUACUGCUAUUAUUUCUUUUAUGUCGAGCUAACGGCUUUGAUUCAAAUCAGUUAGAACAGAAAACAGCUGUAUCAGCACAAUGGCAGAUAUACCAUGGACACUGAUCUACAUUACUGCGGCAGUUGUAGUGUCGCUAAUCUUCAUCAUCGGUUGUGUGUGAUGUGCGCGGCGUGAAAACGGAACAUCGAAACACGAAGUGUCAAGACAAAUAGAGGAAAAACAAAGUACCAAAAAGACCCAAAGUGGAUCCAAAAAAUGCGGGUCGCAUCAUUGUCGAUCAUGAUUAUUAUGAUAAAGUUUAAGAAGGAUUUUAUGAUUUUUACGCGAAUGUGUUCGAUAAUCCAAGCUUCAGACCAUUACCUAAUAAUACCAGUAUAACCAUACCAACAUGUGUUUGAUAAGGAUUGGAAAGCCACAUUAACUCGGUGCUAACCUAGUGGCUGCAAGAGUUGAAUGAACCCCAGGGAGUUGAGAUUGAUAAUACGAUGUGCCGUUGAGACUGACAUCCAAUGAUCGAGGGGGGAAAUACCAGCGUCUUGAGCAUGUACAAGUUGCGUGCCUAUGUGCGCUAUAUCAAUAUCCCAUAAUAAUAUAAUAAUAAUAAUAAUUUUCUGUCUCUUUUGAGAGCAAUGUGAU